AUGCCCCUCAAUGCGGCCGCCGGAAUUACUCCGGCGAUCAAAAUCGGUGCAGGAAAUAGGUACAAUUCUCUUCUAAUUGCUCCUGCCCGGGGACGCUUUCCACCUCUGUCCUCUACUUCUUCUCCUCCACUCAAACUCAGCACACUAACUGCUUAUUGCCGCAAGACGAGAACAAUCAGCGCAGAAGCCGCUAAGUUUGAGCCAAGAGUUAACCCAAAGGUUGGCGUUGCGGUUUACAAACCCCGAUCAUAUGAGGUUCUUGUGUCGGACGCCGCCACUUCGCUUUACUACGCUCUCCAAGAUGGAAAAACUCGUCUCGAAAUUGAAUUCCCUACUGACAUUCAUCUAUCAUUUCUUGAUCGUCGAUCUUUGGAGUGCAUUACCAGUCCCUUACCUAGCAAUGUUUCUUCAUAUAAGGGCUCAUCGGAUGAUUUCAGUGAUGCCAACAUUCAGCUUGCCUUGGCUGUUGUUAAAAAGUUGAAAGAGAAACAAGAGACGAGAGCACGCAUUGUAUUUCCUGAUAAGCCUGAAAAACGCAGGGCAUCAGAACUUUUCGGAACUGCUAUGGAUUUGAUUGAGGGUAUAACAAUAGGAUCCUUGGAUGAUGUUCCUAGUGGUGCCGUCACAACAUUUUUCAAAUCCUUAAGGGACACUUUUGAUUUCGAAUUUGGAGAUGAAGAUGAAGCAGGUCGCUGGAAAUCUGACGAGCCGCCUUCACUUUAUAUUUUCCUCGGCUGUAGCACUCGGGAUCUGUCUACUAUAGAGAAGUAUGUGGAAAACUUUGCGCCCACCACGCCGACUCUUCUCUUCAAUUUAGAACUGGACACAUUACGUGCUGACCUGGGCCUCAUAGGAUUUCCCAGCAGGGACGUGCAUUACCGGUUUCUUUCACAAUUUGUUCCUGUUUUCUACAUCCGUACGCGGGACUAUUCCAAGACAGUCGCGGUGGCGCCCUAUUUACUGAACUACAGUGGAGCAUUAUUCCGUCAAUACCCUGGGCCCUGGCAAGUGAUGUUGAAACAAGAAGACGGCGCCUAUGCUUGCGUCGCAGAGAGUGCGUCGCGUUUCACGCUGGGUGAAACUAAGGAAGAACUGCUGAGAGUGCUUGGACUUCAGGAGGAACAAGGAAGCUCAUUGGAAUUCCUACGAAAAGGCAUCAAGAGUGCAACUUGGUGGGAAGAAGAUGUCGACAGAGAGCUAUCAUCGGCGUGGCGCAGCUGAACAAGAACAUACACAUAUAAUGAAAUGCAAAAGAAUCAAUCCCUCGGGAAUCUGGAAAAGGAUGCAUAGUAAGGGCAUCACUAUUGUAGGUUCUCUUUAUCAGAUUCUACAAGUUCAUCAAAUUCUGAAUCAAAUGGUUUAUUUCUGGGCAUCACUAUUAUAGAUUCUUCAUCAGUUUCUACAGGUUCUUUGUCAAACUCCAAUUCAAAUUAUGCUCGUUUGUACAUAUGUUUAUUCUGAGCAAACAAAACUUGUUUGAGAUCAGGAGAUUGAAAAAGUUUAUAUAGAAGACAUCAAGUUUAAAGUAUUUUCUCCUAUUGUGAAAUAUAGCUCUAUUCGCAUGUUGCUUGCUAUGGUGGUUUUGUUAAACAUCGAGCUUGAACAACUUGAUGUUAAAGACACCUUUCCUAGUCGGAUAUUUAAUGUAUUUUCUUUUGUUAAAUACUAUCGAUGAAUAACACUAAACAUAGCCAUAAUAUCUUAAUAAAAAAUAAGUUUAGGAAAAGAAGUAUAAACUAUAAAGUACAAACAUAUAAUUUAGUUCUCUAUGGCACAAAGCAUUAAAUCUCAUAAACCAAGGAGUGGAAGACUUUUUAUCUAUUGCUAUUGCUAGUUAUAGCCAAAAUGAAACCUUAAACAUAUGCACAUCAUCAUCAUCAUCUUUGCAUACUAUUAUUUUGUUUCUUGGACAAGAUCCUUGUUCGAGCAAGCUCUACUAUACUACUAUGCAUGUUAAGCCCCGUAACCAGUUCAAGUCAUGACGCUCGAAUACUGCCAAAAAAAAAACAAACUAAAAAAUUCUACUUUGCCUAUUCGUUUGAAUGCAAAAGUAAACACA